ensembl:snRNA
ACAAAGAAAGAAAGGAGAAAAGGUUAACACUCCCCUUGACAAGGAUGAAAGAGGCCCUCAGUCUGACAAUACACAUACAGUUAAGGCAAAGCCACCUACUUUGAGGCAUUGAACCAUAGCUUUUA